GAUGAACGCUGGCGGCGUGCCUAAUACAUGCAAGUCGAGCGAACGGACGAGAAGCUUGCUUCUCUGAUGUUAGCGGCGGACGGGUGAGUAACACGUGGAUAACCUACCUAUAAGACUGGGAUAACUUCGGGAAACCGGAGCUAAUACCGGAUGAUAUUUUGAACCGCAUGGUUCAAAAGUGAAAGACGGUCUUGCUGUCACUUAUAGAUGGAUCCGCGCUGCAUUAGCUAGUUGGUAAGGUAACGGCUUACCAAGGCAACGAUGCAUAGCCGACCUGAGAGGGUGGUGGGACACACGGGAACUGAGAAAGGGUCCAGACUCCGACGGGAGGAAGCAGUAGGGAAUCUUCCGCAAUGGGCGAAAGCCUGACGGAGCAACGCCGCGGGAGUGAUGAAGGUCUUAGGAUCGUAAAACUCUGUUAUUAGGAAAGAACAUAUGUGUAAGUAAGGGUGCACAUCUUGACGGUACCUAAUCAAAAAGCCACGGCUAACUACGUG
rnacentral:rRNA from 1 species